rnacentral:rRNA from 1 species
AUUGAACGCUGGCGGCAUGCCUUACACAUGCAAGUCGAACGGUAACGCGGGGCAACCUGGCGACGAGUGGCGAACGGGUGAGUAAUGCAUCGGAACGUACCCAGUAGUGGGGGAUAGCCCGGCGAAAGCCGGAUUAAUACCGCAUACGACCUAAGGGUGAAAGCGGGGGACCGUAAGGCCUCGCGUUAUUGGAGCGGCCGAUGUCAGAUUAGGUAGUUGGUGGGGUAAAGGCCUACCAAGCCUUCGAUCUGUAGCUGGUCUGAGAGGACGACCAGCCACACUGGGACUGAGACACGGCCCAGACUCCUACGGGAGGCAGCAGUGGGGAAUUUUGGACAAUGGGCGAAAGCCUGAUCCAGCCAUGCCGCGUGCGGGAAGAAGGCCUCGGUUGUAA